GUGGCGACCCCACCAGGAAUCGAACCUGGAACCUACAGCUUAGAAGGCUGUCGCUCUAUCCGGUUGAGCUAUGGGGCCG
rnacentral:tRNA from 1 species